rnacentral:rRNA from 1 species
AAAUUGAAGAGUUUGAUCAUGGCUCAGAUUGAACGCUGGCGGCAGGCCUAACACAUGCAAGUCGAACGGUAACAGGAAACAGCUUGCUGUUUCGCUGACGAGUGGCGGACGGGUGAGUAAUGUCUGGGAAACUGCCUGAUGGAGGGGGAUAACUACUGGAAACGGUAGCUAAUACCGCAUAACGUCGCAAGACCAAAGAGGGGGACCUUAGGGCCUCU